rnacentral:misc_RNA from 1 species
UCUCCGUUGGUGAACCAGCGGAGGGAUCAUUAACGAGUUUCGCAACUCCCAAAAACCCACUGUGCACCUAUACCUCCACUGUUGCUUCGGCGGGCUCUUCGCCCGGGAACCUGGAACUCGGGCACCUGGAACCCGGGCGCCCGCCGAGGGACUCAAGCUCCUGUAUUCUUCAGUUUGCGUGUCUGAUUUCAGUGGGAAACGGCCUAAAUGGAAUGAGAACUUUCAACAACGGAUCUCUUGGCUCUG